GGCCAUGGGGUCAACAAACCUGGGUAUUAAACUCCUUCCUUUUUAAAAAAUUGAAGCUGACCCACCUGUCAAAACUCAAGUACAUCCUGGCAGGAGAUGAGGUAAAGAAGAUCUGAACACAGUGAUUCAUCAAGACUGAUGAGAAGGUCUACAUUGGUACCCAGCUGGAUUCAUAGAUUUCAUCAUUGAGAAGACGGCUGAAAAUCUUUGUCUGCGAGCAAGAUUUGCUGGCUGGAAGAUGGGGGAUUCGUCUCAAAGUGACUGAUAGAAAAACAAAAGGC